AGUGAACGCUGGCGGCGUGCUUAACACAUGCAAGUCGAACGAGAACGGGCUAUAGCUUGCUAUAGUUGUCAGCUAAGUGGCGCACGGGUGAGUAAUGUAUAGGUAAUAUGCCUCUUACUAAGGGAUAACAAAUGGAAACGUUUGCUAAUACCUUAUACUCCUUUUAAACAGAAGUUUAAAAGGGAAAGAUUUAUUGGUAAGAGAUUAGCCUGUAUUGUAUCAGUUAGUUGGUGGGGUAAUGGCUUACCAAGACUAUGACACAAACUGGUUUGAGAGGAUGAUCAGUCACACUGGAACUGAGACACGGUCCAGACUCCUACGGGAGGCAGCAGUGGGGAAUAUUGCACAAUGGACGAAAGUCUGAUGCAGCAACGCCGCGUGGAGGAUGACACAUUUCGGUGCGUAAACUCCUUUUAUAUGAGAAGAUAAUGACGGUAUUAUAUGAAUAAGCACCGGCUAACUCCGUGCCAGCCGCCGCAGUAA
rnacentral:rRNA from 1 species